CCAAAUAUGGAUUACUCCUUUUUAGAUAAUUACUGAAUUUGAUAAGAUAAAUUACCUCAGUGAGUAUAUAUAUAUGAAAACUUAAGUAAUCUCAGUUAUAAAAAUUAAACUAUUAUAGCAAUAUAAAUUUAGAACAUACUGUUUAUGGGAUAAAUUUGGUGCCAGCAUUCGCGGUCAAACCAGACUCAUAAGAUAAUUAAAAAUAAAUCUUAUAUCACCCUUUAAAAUUAAAAUUUUUAGUGAAAUAAAAUUUUAAUUUAGAGUUUUAGUAGGGACCUUUAAUUAAAAGAUAUGCACAUAAAAACAAGGAUUAGAUACCCUUCUAUUAAACAAACUUAUAAAUAAGAUUUGAGGAGUAUACAAGAAACUCAAAAAUCAUGGCGGCUACUAAAAAUAAUCAGGGGAACUUACCUAAUAAAUGAUAACCCCCAAGCUUAAUAUACUUUAACUUAAAGCUUGUAUGCCGUCGUUUUAAGCCGCUUUAAGAGCAGCUUAAAGAAAUUCUUUUUUUAAAAACAGAUCAAGGUGCAGCCAAUGUUACAGAGAUAGGCGAGUUACAUUGAUAAUUUGUUUUCUUACUUUACACGAAAUAGUAAAUACAAGUUGGACUUGUAAGUAAUAUUUUAAGUAGUUAUAAAAUAUGAAUAUUAACUUUAGUAGUGC
rnacentral:rRNA from 1 species